UACGUAGGGUCCGAGCGUUGUCCGGAAUUACUGGGCGUAAAGAGCUCGUAGGUGGUUUGUCGCGUUGUUCGUGAAAACUCACAGCUUAACUGUGGGCGUGCGGGCGAUACGGGCAGACUUGAGUACUGCAGGGGAGACUGGAAUUCCUGGUGUAGCGGUGGAAUGCGCAGAUAUCAGGAGGAACACCGAAAGCGAAGGCAGUCUCCUGGCAAGUUUCUGACGCUCAGGUGCGAAAGCUAGGGGAGCGAACAGG
rnacentral:rRNA from 1 species